rnacentral:lncRNA from 10 species
ACUGUUGAUUUCCAACUAAGGAUGGGGGGAAAGUGAAAACAAUGGAAAUAAAAGGUCAAAGAAUCCCUCAGAAUGCAUGCGAUUUGUUAAUCAUGAUGGAGAUCUCAGAUGCUUUUGAAGAGGCUGAACUGAUAUGAGAAAGUCUUAACCAGUUGUUGCUUCUUUGAAGAAGAAGGAAGGGGCCACAAGCCAAGGAAUGUGGUGGCAUCUAGACACUGGAAAAAGCAAGAAAAUGAAUUCUCCACUAAAGCAUCCAGAAACACAGCUCUAAAGAUCCCCAGUUUUAGUCCAGUAUGACCCAUGUUGGACUUCUAAACCAUAGAAUUGUAAGAUACUAAAUUUAUGCUGUUUUAAACCAUUAUGUUCAUGAUAAUUUGUUACAGUAGCCAUAGAAAUCUAAUAAAAUUGAGA